rnacentral:tRNA from 1 species
GGGCGCGUACCCAAGUGGUCCAAGGGAACGGAUUGCAAAUCCGUCAUUCGUGGGUUCGAAUCCCACCGCGCCCU